CUCCGCCAUCACUGAUUCCAGGUAGGUCCGGCGCUCCCCUGCACUGCUGAUCCCUGGUUAGGAUCCCUCUUACUGUUCUCCUCUAACCCGCCGCCUCCGCGACGCCCUUCGCACCCCUGCCCACGCCCCCGCAGAAACCCUAGUCACCAUGGGUCGCUGGCGCAGCUUUGGCGCCUCCAGUUUGUCGGCCCGCCACCCCGCGUCUCUGCACGAACGGCUAUCAAUCGGGCUCGACGGUCUGCGCUGCCUCGGUUACCUCAACUCCGACGCCGACGGUUCACAAUCUCGACAAUGAUCUAUGCUACCUUGAUCACUCGCCUGACCUAUUGCAUCCAUGCCGCUCCAUGUUCUGAGUUCUCCACUGCAAUUGUGUGCGCACUGAAAUACCAGGAUCUUGAUGACAUGGCACACACGUUCUGAUAUAUUCUGUAACUUCUGUAUUUUUUCUGAGAUUGUAUUCUGUAACUUCUUCACUAUGCUUGGAAAACCCGGAUUUGUUAUCUUCAGUUUAUAGUUGAGACUUCAUUUAUGCUGAGUACGCUGUAGCAGCUGGACAUCGUCAUCGCUCAAAUGUGUGGCAGUUACAUAUGCAAGCUGGGUUUUUUUUAUCUGUUCAAUUGCAAAGGAGAACUCACAUUGUGAAUUCUUGUGACGACUCCCUGGAUACUACCCUAUGCAUGCUUUCCACGAUGUACUGAUGUCAUUGACGUGCCUUUUGUGGUGAGAAGAUUACACAAAUCUGGAUCUGAGAUGAGAAAGGAACUAGGGAUUGCAGAUGAUGUUAAGGUGGUCAUUUUCUACUUUUGAGGACAGCCGUCUACCAAUCGUCGCCCGAUCUGAAGCUGCACAAAAGAUGCGCCACCAUAUAGAUAAGCUUCUCUUGCCCUACAUUGACAUGUUUUCCCCUGGUUUAGUGAAUGUGAAACAAGAAUUGAACUUGACGCCACUGAAAGUUAAAUUAAAUAUAUCCAUCUAGCAUAAUCAUGAGCAUCAUGUGUUCAAGAAAAAAAAUAUGAUUAUAUGUAACUUCUAUUUUUUGCCAUCCUAUACCAAUGAUCAAUGUUGUAAUAAGCUUACUGUGCAGUUUUAAAUUUAUAACAGACUAUACACAUGUUUUUGUUUUCAAAUAACUAUGAUAGAAAUCAGUGUCCAGUACGUGGUUCCACAAAGGCAAGGUUAUACUGUUCUGCACUUACUAUGAUAGAAAUGAUCUAAAUCUCUAAAUAACAAUGAGUGUGCAUAGUAUUUAGCGUGACAGGUACAGAACCAUAAAAACAGAUGAAUUGCCAAAAUGAUAGUAGUACAAAUCAUCGGUGAAGUUAUUCUGAUUUAGCAAAUCAAACUUACCUGAAUAUGCAAUUCGCAAGACUAGAUGUCAAGCCAACAACAUGCUCUUCUACUUCUAUGUAAUGGGACCAACCUAGCUUGGUAACCUUUCUAAUGCUACAUUAGAAAUAUAUGAUCAGUUGAUCUGGCCACUCAAAAAUGUCAACAGUAAUUGUCAUGCAGCUAGAUUAGUUAUUGCAAUGCCUUCAGCCUUUGUAUGUUCCCCCUCUUUUUUUAAUUGUGUUGUAUAUUGGCCAGAUUUUUUUUCUUUCUGUAAUGGUACGUUACUCAUGUCAGUUUUUAUUUGAUGUAGAUUGCCAAGAUAAAUAGAUGAUGCAUGGCUAAGUGGUUUCUAGCAAGGCGGAGAAUGGGACUACCACCAAGAUAGUUUUACGUUUAUUUUUUAGAAUGCCAUUUUCAUGGUCAUUGUAUAGAAAUGAUGUGAUGUCAUUUUCAGGGUCAAUGUAAGGAAAAUCAUGUGUUUACUCUUUGGAUUUUGUUCCAUGUAAUGCAACCAAUCAGAUUCAAUAUAUGAGCUAUUCCUAUUUA